rnacentral:tRNA from 1 species
GACGCGUUCGUCUAGCCCGGUUUAGGACGGCAGGUUCUCAUCCUGCAAAUCGCGGGUUCAAAUCCCGCACGCGCCA